CGGCGUGGAUGAGGCAUGCAAGUCGCACGCAUUCAUCAAGCUUGCUUGAUGUUUGAGUGGCGGAAGGGUUAGUAAUACAUAGGUAAUCUGCCCUUAACUUCAGAAUAACGACUGGAAACGGUCGCUAAUACUGAACGCCGCAUUUAAAAGUACGCUUUUAGAUGCGAAAGUAGGGGAUCCCGUGAGGGACCUUGCGGUUAAGGAAGAGCUUAUGGGGUAUCAGCUAGUUGGUGUGGUAAUGGCACACCAAGGCUAAGACACCUAGGCGGACUGAGAGGUUGACCGCCAACACUGGGACUGAGAUACUGCCCAGACUUCUACGGAAGGCUGCAGUCGAGAAUCAUUCGCAAUGGGCGCAAGCCUGACGAUGCGACGCCGUGUGAGCGAAGAAGGCCCUAGGGUCGUAAAGCUCUUUCGCCUGGGAACAAGAGAGGAGUUGGAUAAUGACUCUGAUUUGAGGGUACCAGGUAAAGAAGUGCCGGCUAACUCCGUGCCAGCAGCUGCGGUAAUACGGAGGGCGCAAGCGUUAAUCGGAUUGACUGGGCGUAAAGGACGCGUAGGCGGUCAGACAAGUCUGUGGUGAAAUUUCGGGGCUCACCCCCGAAGCUGCCCCAGAAACUGUUUGACUAGAGAAUAGGCGGAGAAAGCGGAAUUCCACAUGUAGCGGUGAAAUGCGUAGAUAUGUGGAAGAACACCGGUGGCGAAGGCGGUUUUCUAGCUUAUUCCUGACGCUGAGGCGCGAAAGCAAGGGGAGCAAACAGGAUUAGAUACCCUGGUAGUCCUUGCCGUAAACGAUGCAUACUAGAUGCAGCUAGGCUCAACCCUAGCUGUGUCGGAGCUAACGCGUUAAGUAUGCCGCCUGGGGAGUACGCCCGCAAGGGUAAAACUCAAAAGAAUUGACGGGGGCCCGCACAGGCAGUGGAGCAUGUGGUUUAAUUCGAUGCAACGCGAAGAACCUUACCCAGGCUUGACAUGUUUAGGACCGCACCAGAAAUGGUGCUUUCCGUAAGGACCUUUACACAGGUGCUGCAUGGCUGUCGUCAGCUCGUGCCGUGAGGUGUUGGGUUAAGUCCCGCAACGAGCGCAACCCUUGUC
rnacentral:rRNA from 1 species